UACGGGGGGGGCAAGCGUUGUUCGGAAUUACUGGGCGUAAAGGGCUCGUAGGCGGCCAACUAAGUCAGACGUGAAAUCCCUCGGCUUAACCGGGGAACUGCAUCUGAUACUGGAUGGCUUGAGAUUGGGAGAGGGAUGCGGAAUUCCAGGUGUAGCGGUGAAAUGCGUAGAUAUCUGGAGGAACACCGGUGGCGAAGGCGGCAUCCUGGACCAACACUGACGCUGAGGCGCGAAAGCUAGGGGAGCAAACGGG
rnacentral:rRNA from 1 species